GAGUUUGAUCUUGGCUCAGGACGAACGCUGGCGGCGUGCUUAACACAUGCAAGUCGAACGGUGAACCCUUCGGGGGGAUCAGUGGCGAACGGGUGAGUAACACGUGAGCAACCUGCCCUUGACUCUGGGAUAACCCCGGGAAACCGGAGCUAAUACCGGAUAUGACGCACGGAGGCAUCUCCUGUGUGUGGAAAGAUUUAUUGGUCAAGGAUGGGCUCGCGGCCUAUCAGCUUGUUGGUGGGGUAAUGGCCUACCAAGGCGACGACGGGUAGCCGGCCUGAGAGGGCGACCGGCCACACUGGGACUGAGACACGGCCCAGACUCCUACGGGAGGCAGCAGUGGGGAAUAUUGCGCAAUGGGCGAAAGCCUGACGCAGCGACGCCGCGUGAGGGAUGAAGGCC
rnacentral:rRNA from 1 species